AGGUGCAUGGCACAGUGGUUUCAGUGCUGGACUGUGACUCUGGAGACCAGGGUUCAAUUCCCAACCCGGCCA